rnacentral:lncRNA from 1 species
AUAAAACCUGAGAUGAUCCAUUUUCAAACUGGUAGUGGCCAAAAAGAUCCAAAAUGUUAUUGUCAUGAGAAGAAGUAGUGAAAAUUGUUUGAGAAUUCUUUUGCUCCAUGCUUUCAGAGACAAGAAUGAAUGAAUGAAUGAAUGAGCUUAUUGCUUUUUCAACACCUGUGAAAAGAUAAAUGAAUUUGGUUAGUUGACUUGACUAUAAGCUUGUGGAAUUUUCUUGGAAAGUAUAUGAAAUACAUAUUCUUUCACUUUUCUUAUAUAGGCAAAUAUAAAAAUGCAAUUUAACAUUACAAAUAACAAUAAAAAAUAUCAGAGACAAAAACAUCCAAUCUAAUUUUAUUUUGCGUUUGAUCUGCUAAAAAACAGGAGACUGGACAGGACAAUUUUUGUUUCCACAAAAACUGCUUAAGGGACUGAACAAAAUAGGCAUCAAGGGACAGGACAAAAACAAGAAUUUGUGUCCACCACUGAACCACAUGACAACUUUUUGUCCACACAGUACCGCUAUAAAAAAUACGAAAAUACCUAUUUCAUUUUCGAAUAUAAAAAAAAUAUUAUCGUUCUAUCUCUCUUCAGUAUAAUUUUGUCCGGUCCCGUACUAUCUUGUUAUGUCCAGUAUUUGCUGUUUUGCGAAUCAAACACACCCUAAGUAUCAAGACUACUCUAACUUAACUAAAAAAUUUAAUAGAAUAAAAAUAAAAUUGUCUAUAUUUAAGAAACUAAUAAUGUAUAAUUAUAGAAUCAAUAUAAUGUACACGAAAUAUAGACGGAUUCAUUUUUAUUCUAUUAGUUUUGAAUGCAAUACUCAACAACAAGGCCCGUUAAGGUUGGUGAGGAGCAUUGUUUUGAGGGAGGGAAAUCGUGGUUGAUAAACCACUUCGAGGAAGCGACUUAUGCCUUGUCUAUCUAAUUGUAAGGCUAUACCUUAGAAAGGUUGCUAUAGGGUCUAAGUAGUGGUACUUCUCGUUUAGUUGUUAAAAGAUAGAUAGAACCUUUUAAAAUGAGAUUGAGUUUCACGAAUAUGCAAGCUAGAAAGAUGUUAAAAUCCAUAGAAAUUAUUUGUUGCUCGAGAAAUUAUUUAUACAUUCGCGGACCGACUAAUUCGAAGGGACCAAUUUCACCGCUCCACUUGUGGCGCCCCAUUUAAGUCCGAGUUUAUGGACUGACCCACCAAAAUUUUCACCAAAAAAUCGAACAUGAGAUCUUGAGAGAAAUAUACUCCAAGAUCCUAAGCUAAUAACACCACUGAGCUAUGUUAAUUUUACUUGCUUAUAAGAGGUAAGAGAGAAGUGAACAAUUGUUUCAUUUUUCUCAACAAUGAGAAUGUGAAAAUAAUUAUUUUGAUUUUCUCCGAGAAUCAUCAUCCUUAAUUUGUUUUCAUCUUCUGUCAAUAUCACAAUGAUUCAGUCUAAGAGUCUUUCAUCAAUUUGAAAUAAACAAACGUUUUAGAAACAGGAAACAAAAUAUAUUUUCACAAAAUAAACACCGCUUUAGUCUUUAUAGUUAUGUGCGGAGAUAUCCAGUUAACCCUAGUAGUCUUUAUAGAUAGGCGCGGAGAUAUCCAAUUAACCCAAAGAGAAAUGUGAAACACAACUCAUACCUAAUUCAGCAAAAACAAAAUCGAGUAAACUGUCAUUUUAGUCCUCAGAAGUGUCACUCGCUGUCAUAAAAGUCUCUGAAUCAUCAAAAAAUAUUUUAAAGUCCCUGGAUUUAAUAUCCGUUAGUAAAAAUGGUCUCUGACGUUAUCUUUCUGUUUGUUUUAUAUGAUGUGUACCAAAAUUUGACAUGUUGAACCGUGGCAAUUUUUUAUUCUAAUUUUACAGCAACCUAAGCAAGGAUCAAAUUGAAAGUGAGCAUAAAAAAAUUGUAAAUAAAAAAAUACAACAAAAUAGUAAAAAAAACAAUAGAAAAAUUCAUCCAAAAUUCAUAAUAAACUCAUCUUCAACCAAUUAUCCCUUCCGAGANNNNNNNNNNNNNNNNNNNNNNNNNNNNNNNNNNNNNNNNNNNNNNNNNAAACCAUAACAAAAAAAAUCAAAUUUCUCCAUAUUUCACCCCCUCUUCUAUUAGAACAAAACUAAAUGAAUAAUCAUAUUUUCCAAAAUCAACAAAAGAAGUUCAAAAGAUAAAGAGAGCAGAAAGUUCAAAAAAAACUAGAUCUGAGAUUUAUUUGUUUACUUUAAACUUGUUAUUGUGAUAAUUAGAGAUGAGAAAUGAUUGACUAAAACAUGGAAGAAAACUCAUUCUUUACAAGCUUUGUCUAACUUCUCUAGCUCAAUUGCAUCUUCACAAAAUAAUUUACCAAGGUCGAUAAUUGGUAAAGAGGUUGUUGUUGAUACAAGAACAAGGUCUUGAUUUAGUGGAAGAUAUGUGGAACUUUUCUUUGCCAAUUUUUACCAAUUAUCGACCUAUUUGUUCACAACCUUCAUGGGUCAAUUUCCAUCAUCACUCUCUCUUAUUUGUUUACUUUAAACUUGUUGUUAUUGUGAUAAUUUUGGGGGUAUUUAUUUGUGUCAAUUUACUUUAUAAAUUAGUAGAUUAAUGUUUCUCAUAUUUAAAUGAAUGUUCUUUUUUCAAGUUUGAAGAUAGAGGUAGGAAUUGGUAUGAAUUUCUAUUAUUUAAUCCAAAAUAUUUUUGAAGAAAAUGGAAGGUGGGUUUGACAUAUUGAUGCUUGAUGGAGGUUUGUGAGGAAGAGAGGUGAAAGAAGAUGAAGAUUUGUUUUUGUUCAUUUUUAUUGUAUUUGUUUUUAUUUAGGAAAUUUUAAUUUUUAAUGUCAUUUUAAUUCUUGUAUAGGUGUCAUUGAAAAUUGUCACAUAUUGGUUCAAUGUGUCUAAAUUUGGGGAAUGAUCAUAAAAACAAACAGAAAGAUAACGUCAGAGAUCAUUCUGGCUAACGGAAGUUUAAUUCAGGGACUUUUAAAUGUUUUUUGUUGUUUCAGGGACUGUUAUGACAGCGAGUGACACUUUCAGGAACGAAAGUGACUGUUUAUUCAAACAAAAUCGCUAUGUAAAUAAUGGUACGAUAAACCUAUCCUAGUAACACAAGAGAAGAAAAAAGAAAACACUAACCGAUUACGAAAUAUGGAAACCGAACAAUAAAAGCAGCAACUAAUGCGACCGCGCUACGGUUCUCUCUUUUCUUGUUUUCCUUUUCGCGCACGUUACUUCUUUCUACGCAGCUCUCUUGUUUUGUUUUCGUUUAUAUAAUAACUUGGUGUGGGCCCAUUUGGGGAGUGACCAAUCCAAUAAAAAUGAAGUGGAUCAUGGAAGUUUCAAAGAAACUAAGUUUUGAUGAAUUAUCUUUCAAGAAACUACUUUUUGAUGAAUUAUCUACCAAGAAACUUUUUUUUUAAUUGCAUAAUUUAGUGGAUAUAUAUUAAUAUGAGAACAUCUCGUU